rnacentral:rRNA from 1 species
CGCAUCUGUGCAUGCAGCAUAUCAAUAAGCGGAGGAAAAGAAACUAACAAGGAUUCCCUCAGUAACGGCGAGUGAAGCGGGAAGAGCUCAAAUUUGAAAUCUUGAAAGGUCACCUUUCACGAAUUGUAGUUUAAAGAAGUGUUUUCUGUUACGAUCGUAAUAUAAGUUCUUUGGAAUAGGACAUCACAGAGGGUGAGAAUCCCGUCUAUGAUUGCGAUUUGUAGCUUUGUGAUACACUUUCAAAGAGUCGGGUUGUUUGGGAAUGUAGCCCAAAACGGGAGGUAAAUUUCUUCUAAGGCUAAAUAUUGGCGAGAGACCGAUAGCGAACAAGUACCGUGAGGGAAAGAUGAGAAGAACUUUGAAAAGAGAGUUAAACAGUACGUGAAAUUGUCAAAAGGGAAGCGUUUAACACCAGUGUUGUUUUCUGAAAAUCAACCUCUGUUAGCUUUAUGCAUGUUUGUUUAGACCUAAUCAGCUAUCUUGCAUGUUCUAUUGUUUGCAGUGGUGCACUUUUCAGUUUACAGGUCAACAUCAGUUUUUUUUACCGUAAAAAAGUUAAAGAAAGGUAGCUCAUGGCUCCGGUCGUGAGUGUUAUAGUCUUUUUCCUAUGCGGUAGGAGAGACUGAGGUCUGCAGUGUAGGCUAUUUGGCUAGAUACUCAGGUGCUAUGUGAUACCAUUUCAUAAACAACUUGUUGAUUAUGUUUUGUCUAUUGCAUACUCGCUUGUACUAUCAUACCUACGCUUAGGAUGUUGAAGUCAUCGUAUCGCGC